UGUUGUCAGCAUGUAUUGUUAGUUUGUAGAUUAUGAAUUUGGAGCUUAAAAUUAGGGCUGGCAAACGAGCAAGCCGACUCGCGUUCGACUCGUGUUCGGCUCGAUAUUCGGCUCGCUCGAGCUCGACUCGAAAUUAAAUGAGCCGAGCUUGAACAAAAUAAAAGGCUCGAAAUUCAUUUCAAGCCGAGGUUGAGUAUUACUCGGCUCGUUCGAAUUAGGCUCGAAAAGCUCGAAAAGCUCGAAUAUAUAUAUAUAUAUAUAUAGGCCGGGGCUACUAUACUCUUAUGAGUAUAGACCCCCUUGUACUCAUAAAUUGUUAACUGUUGAUUGAUGGGAUGUGUGGUUAGGAUGAUGGUAGUCCCCACUUAGAAUGAUAGUGGUCCCCUAGGGUUGAGUGGAUAGUUGGUUAAAUAGUAUGAUCUAACGGAUGAAAAUGAUUAAUAGAAUAAAUUUAAGGGUCGAAAACUUAUGAGUAUAAAGGAGCCAAUACUCAUAAAAGUAUAGUAGCCGGACUCUAUGUAUAUAUAUAUA
rnacentral:lncRNA from 1 species